AGAGCGCGACACGUGGAUGAUGCAUCAUCAACGGUCAAGAUUAGAUUGGUUUGAAAGGGUUAUUAAAUCCGGUUUAAGUGGAUGAUUCGAACCACCAUUUUUGAACCGGUCCUUUACCAAACAACUCAUUUGCAGGUUGCCCUCUCUCGCACGACGCGCUCAUCUCUCGCUGCUCACAGAGGAGAAACCCUAACGGUGGUUUCUUCUGCUGCUCCCGGUCAAGGUCGAAGCUCACGAAGGGGUUUUUCCCGUAGGCGAAAGGGAUUAGUUGUGGUUUCUUCUGCUGCUCCCGGUCAAGGUCGAAGCUCACGAAGGGGUUUUUCCUGUAGGCGAAAGGGAUUAGUUGUCUAGGGAUUAGUUGUCUCUCUAUCUUGCGAAGGGGAUUUUUUGCUAGGUUUGAGUCACUAUCGCGCCGAACUUUUUUCUGGGUUUGAUUCAUUCACUGUUAGUUUUUUUUUUUUUUUUUUUCCUGCUUGGUGUUGUUCUACAACAGAGGUUUCUUGCCACGAAGGGGUUUCUCUGCUCUGUCGCGGUCUCCUCCCCUCGUGAAGGUCUCUCUUCCUUCAGAGGUAUGUUUCCAGAUCUGAACAAGUAAUGUAGUGUUGUCAUCGUGUUGCGUCUCAGUUGUAAAUGUGGAUGCUAUUGAAUAUAUCAAUAUGGUUCAUAUUCCAGAUCUGAACAAGUAAA